AUGCUGGGGACCCUCUGCACUCUCAUCACUGCUCUAACAUGUGUGAGUGGUGUGACGCUGGUGACACAGAAGCCUCCUGUUGUGACAGUGAGGAAAGGAGAGACAGCCACCAUGGACUGUAACCUGGGGACUGUUACUGACAGUUCUGCUGACUGGUACAAACAGAUUUCUCGAGGAGUUCCUAAAAUUAUGUUGAAGUUUCGUCAUAGCUGGAGCUCUCCAACCUAUGGCUCUGGUUUCUCCUCUCCAAAGUUCACUUCUACUCAUCAGUCAACAGUAGAUUAUCGUUUGAUCAUCAACAAUGUGGAGGAGGGAGACUCAGCAGUCUAUCACUGUAAAACAUGGGACGACUCUGCUAAGGAGUUCGUAUCACAGUGAUUUACACUGUGACAAAAACCUCCUCACUAAUACUUCUGCUUUUUCAGUCUCUGACUCUUGUCAGCUGAUGACUGGGCCAACAAAACACACU